rnacentral:sRNA from 1 species
CUCUUUUAUAUUUGCCAGCAUUUGCAGUGCGUCUCAACCUGCCUUGGGUGCAGAGGGAAAGCUGCUUGAUAUGUUAUUAUGGUUCAGGGUUGCUCACUAAUUCUUAGAGUGAGUGGAGAUCUGAAAUAACCCCAACCACCCCCUAGCUAUGGGAGCUUUCUACAUUUUCCUUAGCAGCACAUCAUGCAGCGAAUUCAGAGGCUUCAGGCUGACUGGGUCUUGGAAAUAGACACCUUCUUGAGUCAGACACCCUAUGGGUACCGGUCUUUCUCAAAUGUCAUCAGCACCCUCAAUCCCACUGCUAAACGACAUUUGGUCCUCGCCUGCCACUAUGACUCCAAGUAUUUUUCCCACUGGAACAACAGAGUGUUUGUAGGAGCCACUGAUUCAGCCGUGCCAUGUGCAAUGAUGUUGGAACUUGCUCGUGCCUUGGACAAGAAACUCCUUUCCUUAAAGACUGUUUCAGACUCCAAGCCAGAUUUGUCACUCCAGCUGAUCUUCUUUGAUGGUGAAGAGGCUUUUCUUCACUGGUCUCCUCAAGAUUCUCUCUAUGGGUCUCGACACUUAGCUGCAAAGAUGGCAUCGACCCCGCACCCACCUGGAGCGAGAGGCACCAGCCAACUGCAUGGCAUGGAUUUAUUGGUCUUAUUG